rnacentral:rRNA from 1 species
CAAUAGCGUAUAUUAAAGUUGUUGCAGUUAAAACGCUCGUAGUCGGAUUUCGGGGCGGGUCCGCCGGUCUGCCGAUGGGUACGCACUGGCGGGCGCGUCCUUUCCUUCCGGAGACUGGCCCUACUCUUAGCUGAGCGGGGUCGGGAGUCGGAUCGUUUACUUUGAAAAAAUCAGAGUGUUUCAAGCAGGCAGCUCGCUCUUGCAUGGAUUAGCAUGGGAUAAUGAAAUAGGACUUUGGUGCUAUUUUGUUGGUUUCGAACACCGAAGUAAUGAUUAACAGGGACAGUCAGGGGCACUCGUAUUCCGCCGAGAGAGGUGAAAUUCUCAGACCAGCGGAAGACGAACCACUGCGAAAGCAUUUGCCAGGGAUGUUUUCACUGA